rnacentral:lncRNA from 1 species
GUCGAGUGCAACAUCGCGCGCGCGAUCGAGCUGUUCCCGUGCCAGGCGGACGAAGGGAAGGAAUUAACCGCGGCUCAGCAAAAAGAGUGCUGCAAUGGCAUUUACCAGACUAAAAUUGAACUCCCCACUCCCGGCUCCAAUCCGGUCACUUACACCCGAACGGAAACUGGUUCAACCGACCUUUGGGCUAACUCUGGCUGCUUCUGCGUCAAGGCAAUCACCGACCAGGACACGACUUUCUUCAACACCGUGCUCAAGGAAGCGAAAAAAUGCGCAACAUCGUAUGGAGCCAAAUCCUUCGUCACGUGCACCAACGCCAACGGACUGACGGAAUGCGAUACCAGCGUGUUCAGUGCCUGCCCAGGUACUCUACCCACCAAUGGCUUUGUCGGUAAAACUCAAGCCCAAAUCAAGGCAGAGGUUGAAGCGCGUCCCGCCAAGAAGCCUCCUGCGCCUCCGCCUAUUUCUAUUCCCCCUACGGCCACGGCCAAGAAAGUUCAGCUCGAUCUCAGGCUCAAGGAUGCCACUGGAUUCCUCGGCGACACUACGGCCGCAAAGAAUAAAAGGAAGGAGCUCGAAGAGAACCUUGCCAAGGCUCUAUGCAAUUGCGCUUCCCCUACCUUCAAGGUGAAGAUCGUUUCCGUCUCGAAGGGCUCCACCAUCGUGAAGGCGGAGGUCGUGAAGGAGGGAGGCUCGCUCGAUUCUCAAGAACUGACUAGCAUCAACACCCAGACGAGCGCUGGGCUUGGGUCGAGUCCCUCGAUGAGCAGUUACGGCAACAUCUCGGCGACCGUUCCGGCACCCGCCCCGGCCGGCCAGGCGCCCGCACCCAUCCGCGAAGCCAAGACGAUCGAUCUUCCCGGCAAUCUCAACUCACCUCCCGCGAAGCUCCCAGGCGCCGUGACUGGCAUCCCCCGCAUUGGUCUCGACGGCUCUGAGUACGAUGGAGGCUUCAAUAUCACCAACGACGACUACCGUGCGUCCAUUGCUGGACAGAUGCUUCCCGGCGUCGUCAUGGCUGUUCUCCUCGUCGUCAUCAUGAUUCUCAUG